rnacentral:rRNA from 1 species
AUUGAACGCUGGCGGCAUGCCUAACACAUGCAAGUCGAGCGGAGCGGCGGACGGGUGAGUAAUGCCUAGGAAUCUGCCUGGGAGUGGGGUAUAACGUCCGGAAACGGGCGCUAAUACCGCAUACUAGCAGAUGAGCCUAGGGCGGAUUAGCUAGUUGGUGGGGUAAAGGCCUACCAAGGCGACGAUCCGUAACUGGUCUGAGAGGAUGAUCAGUCACACUGGAACUGAGACACGGUCCAGACUCCUACGGGAGGCAGCAGUGGGGAAUAUUGGGCAAUGGGCGAAAGCCUGAUCCAGCCAUGCCGCGUGUGUGAAGAAGGUCUUCGGAUUGUAAAGCACUGUAAUUUGGGAGGCGUUACCAACAGAAUAAGCACCGGCUAACUUCGUGCCAGCAGCCGCGGUAAUUC